CUAAUUAUAAAGCUGAUACAAAAUACAGCUAAUAGACAUCUAUCAGUUGUCUAUCAGCUAUCAGCUAUUGUUUUAAUGGUGUACAAAACACUUUAAUUCAGCUUUUUAAAUGCCUACUAGUUACUAGCUACAUCCAACAGUUAAAACAAAUAUCCCCUUAAUACUUUUGUUGCUAGAAUUUGUAUUUGUUGGCACACUCCAUCAAUGUCUGAAGGACUAAUAAUAUUGUGACAGUCUAAUCAUAUUAAGAUUUCAUAGAGUUCCAGUUUGUUUUGCAAUUGCCAAUUUCUGCUCUUUUUUAUGCUUGUAGAGGGCUAUAGUUUGGUAGACUUAAUACAAUAACAACAACAAUAAUAACAACUAACCCUUAAUCCCAAACUA
rnacentral:misc_RNA from 1 species